rnacentral:rRNA from 7 species
AAAUUGAAGAGUUUGAUCAUGGCUCAGAUUGAACGCUGGCGGCAGGCCUAACACAUGCAAGUCGAACGGUAACAGGAAGCAGCUUGCUGCUUCGCUGACGAGUGGCGGACGGGUGAGUAAUGUCUGGGAAACUGCCUGAUGGAGGGGGAUAACUACUGGAAACGGUGGCUAAUACCGCAUAACGUCGCAAGACCAAAGAGGGGGACCUUCGGGCCUCUUGCCAUCAGAUGUGCCCAGAUGGGAUUAGCUUGUUGGUGAGGUA